UAAGGAAUAUUGGUCAAUGGACGCAAGUCUGAACCAGCCAUGCCGCGUGAAGGAUGAAGGUCCUCUGGAUUGUAAACUUCUUUUAUCUGGGACGAAAACGGGAUUUUUAUCUCAAUUGACGGUACCAGAGGAAUAAGCACCGGCUAACUCCGUGCCAGCAGCCGCGGUAAUACGGAGGGUGCGAGCGUUAUCCGGAUUUACUGGGUUUAAAGGGUGCGUAGGUGGGCUUAUAAGUCAGUGGUGAAAUCUCCGAGCUUAACUUGGAAACGGCCGUUGAUACAAUAGGUCAUGAAUUAUCUGGAAGUAAGCGGAAUAUGUCAUGUAGCGGUGAAAUGCUUAGAUAUGACAUAGAACACCAAUUGCGAAGGCAGCUUACUACAUAUAAAUUGACGCUGAGGCACGAA
rnacentral:rRNA from 1 species